rnacentral:lncRNA from 1 species
GUUUUAAUUUCAUCAUUCGCCGCCUGAAGAGACAAGAUGGCGGAGCUUGCGAAAUCGAAAAUUGGUACUUGAAAGUCAAUGGUUGAUCAUGAUGACCAUCUUUAAUUUAAUGGGGAAAGAUUAACCAAUAUUUGCAGCUGGAGAGGCUAUCACCACAGUUCAAUGAUUUAGUUAAGACAAUGAAAUAGAAGAACUUCAUGCUAAAACUUGCAUCAGUGGAAGUACUUCUUAUUGGAUAGAGAACUUUACAAGGUCAGCCAUCAGCUUUUGAAGUUGCUUUCUUGGCACAUCAUGCUGUCCAGUGGAGUUCAUACCAUAUGCCAGGCCUUUAUACAUGGUCAAAGAAGAUGAAUUUGUUAUUCAAUUGUGAAAUUUGAUUUAAGGAGGACUUUCAUAUAUGAUGAUUAUAUUCAGCAGAUUAUCUUCAAGUGUGCACUUCAUAGAAUCACAGUUUCUAGGAGGUUUUCAGUUUAAAGUUAGAUUAAUUGAAAAAUAAG